CGGCGGAGAUACCCUCCGUGGUGCGGUGCUCGAGCGUGCAAGAUCGGCAUCUAUGGCAUUUCUGUCCCUCCACCCCCACCGUUCUGCCCCAUGUCCAAGCUCCUCCCCUUGAUGCGGUGGUUGAGUGGAGGCGGCGAACGGCGGGAGCCCUCGCCAACCUCUUUGAUGCUGCUAUUGUGGUGUCUGCGGCAGGUGGCCGGCGAUGUCCCGUCGAAGAGGUCGAACAGACUGUUGCCAUGGCGCAACGCAACGGCAAGCCGUGCCAGCCACGUCGUGGCCCUGAGCGGCCGCUGAAGCCGGCGGAGGACCCGACGGUGCCCGCCGACAGAGAUCAUCUCGAAUUGCUGGCGAUCUAGGGGAAGCCGUCAAGAUGAACCGUGAGUCCGUGACACCACGCUCUUCUCCAUCUGUAUCCGCCGUGUCUCCGCCCAUGUCCUCACCUCUGACUGCUCCCCUGCUCUCCCCCACGCCCCCUCCUCUUGGCGACAAGUUGUGCCACUCCUCGACGGCUCAGUUAGCAAGCCCAUCAAAGCCGUCGACAAGGGCCUAGCCGCCGACAAGGGGAGGUCCUGACUCCUGAGCAUCGGGAGCACCUGCGCGGGGGUGCAGUUCGUAGGCGGCAACGUCGAGCUGCGUGGUGGCUCCUUAGCCGCCGUGGGGAUGCGCCGCGACGCGCGGCCACGCUGCCGAGAUGGAGGCCUCGUGCGCCGCCGUGCCGGUGCGGAUGCUCGCGAGCAGCCGGGGGCUGCUGGAUCGGAUCAGGGUCAACUUCAACGCUGCUGAGCUCCGGCUGCCGGCGCACCCACGUCUCUCCGGAUUACUGUGCUCGCUCGCUCGAACAGUCUUGGCACGACCAGAUGCACUCAGGCACACACAGCGGUGCGGUAGCCCUAGCGAUUGCGGCGGUGACUGGCCGGAAGAGGAACAGUGACCAGCAAAAAUUGCGGCUGCUACCAGCAGGAAGCUGAGCACACGAGCAGCGGCCAGCGUCGGCAGAGCAGGCUGCAGCCUGCAGGCGACCGCGACGGUUCUUGUGCAUUUUUUUAACCGCGUCGGGCAUAUUUCAACAGAGAGUUAUUAACCUGAAAUGGCAGGCUAUAAUGGACAUGGAGAACAAAAGAGAAGAAGCCAUGUUGAUUGUGUGCCCACUCUGAUUAUAUGUAUAUCCAUUCUCUGUCCAUUCUGUGUGCCCCUUUAUAUUUGAACUUUGAUAAAUCUUUGCACCUACAUCUGUAUAACAACCCAUUGAUAAUUGCUUUCAACCAUAUUCAUACACCUAGCUUCCUUCAGGCAUUUCUUUAUGUACACUACUCUCACAUCUAAGUAUUUUGUUGACGCCGUGCAAUCUAAUGGAUAUUUGCUACGGCAAACAGAUUUAAAAAGCGGAAGCCAUCGAGAAAAUGAAGUGCCAACUAGACCUCCUCAUAAGUUGUUUAAUUGAUUAUCUAAACCUUAUUUACUAAUUCUGGAUAGAUGAGUUAGCUAUAUGAAAUGUGCUUCUAGAUUCUCCAUGUUCCAGUAAUGGCACAAAUUCAUUUAUAUUAUACCUAAUGUGACUUUUUUGUUUGCGAUGAAAACUACAGAGAGAUGAUAGGUAGAACCACCUCUAUUCACCUUUGCACUUUCUUGAAAAGAAGGUAAGAAUAUCUCUUUUGUGAGGAACACUUUCAAAAUUCUCCUUUUUAUGCUACAUAAUUGCAGUGGUCAAUUCACAGCUGAUUGUCCGUAUAAAUGACUUUGUGUCUUAUCCAAAUCAACUUUGAUUAGAAAGAUAUUGUCAGCAUGCCUGCCUAGGAUCUAUCCAUGUUUUGUAUUUUAUUUCAGUCUUUGCUACAAUUAACAAUAGGAAAAGGAAAGGAAAACGCAUGAGAAAAUCUCAUUAUUUUUCCUCAUCUGUUCAUAUUCUUUGAUUAUUUUCUAAAUUAUUUUUUCACUCUGCUACAAUUAAUCGAUAUAUUCUGCUUUUUCUAGCAAUUCAAAUAGUCUUGCUCAAAGAUGUGUCAGACCAUCUGGGAAACACACAUAUCGAGAGACUACACAAAUUAUAUAAGAAAGUUAGGUUCCUAAUGGUAUGCCACCAGGGAGGAAUCAUGGAAGGCUAUGUGUACCUAAACAAGUGCAUAGAACAAUUUAGGGAACUAAAGGAAGGUCUAUCUACCCAUUCAAAUAGUUCGUCUUCUCUGCGUGACCAACCUUCAUGUAGGCAUGGUCGAAUCUCAGGUUCUGCAGGUGAAUCUGUUGACGGUAAUCUAUUCUGUAUUGUGAUACAUCGACGCAACAUAUGCAGUGUAUACUUGCCACAUUACAAUCUUAGAGAACGACUUGCUGCUUUACAGUAGACUUGCCGCUUUCCUAGCAUCUAAAAGGACUUAUUCGGUAUCUUACUCUUUUUUUUUUGCGAGAACGGUAUCUUACUCUUAUGAUCAUAGGGUCCAAUCACUAAGGCGCAUGAUGCUCUGAGACAUAGCAAACCUAAAGAUUUAAGAGGUAAUUCAUUUAUUGAAGCGAUAGUUUGGUGUCCGGACCUGAAGGACAUUCUACAAACAUGCAUAUGUAAUUUUUUUCACCAAGAUGAUGUCUCUUAUCAAAUUCCAUGUUGGUGUUCUCUGGGGACAAUAGUAAUUCAUUUAUUGAAGCGAUAGUUUGGUGUCAGGACCUGAAGGACAUUCUACAAACAUGCAUAUGUAAUUUUUCCGCCAAGAUGAUGUCUCUUACCAAAUUCCAUGUUGGUGUUCUCCAGGGACAAUAUUGAGUCUAAACAUGGUGCAUUUCAGCAAGACAUUGCAUGGGUUGUGCCAUCCUUUCCUUACGCCAGCUUCGGAGCAGCUGGAGAAUGUGGACUCUGCAAUGAAGUUUCCAACGGUUAUCUGUAGUGUCUGGCUGGCCAUUGUGUUUGACCUAAAUUUCAUUGAAAGAAUCAAGGCAUGUAUACAUACUUGCUAAUUUUCUGUUGAUUUUUUUAGCAAUCGGUGGUGGUUUUAUUGCUGUUGUUUCA